AUAACACUGUGACCUGACCCAUUAUCAGAAGCAGACAACGUUUCCUCAGAACUCCUUUUGUGCUGGAGUUAAGGAUAGCCCGGUGCAACUCUCUCGCUCUCAGAUAAAAGCCCCAACGAUUCGUCUUCUUCUUUCAUAUCCUCCAACAUAUCGUCUGGGCUUCUGUCACAGCGUGGGUUGAAGCUGCACGUUCUCACGGUUUCCUUUAUUUUCGCCACCCAGCAUACUUAUGGGGCUGGACUUCUGUAAGCCCUGCGGGAACGGUUUCCAAGCGGAGAGAGAUCCAGGACUGACCGGUGGCGACUGCCCCUGUACGACUGCCAACUGUGGGACCUGCGGGGACCGCUGCUGUGACGUCUUCUGCCAGGUGUGCGUGGGGGUGUGUUGCGGCCUGUGCUCGGGGGACUGUAGCUACACAUUCUGCCACCUCUGUCUGGUUGUCACGCAGGACCUAGUCAAAGUGAUCUCUGCCACAACCCCGCCGUCGGACAAGGAAGGAUAUGCCAAAUCCAAAAAAGCAUGGCUAAAAAUACCUCAAGCAGACGCUCAAGAAAUCAUUGACGCACAAGCCAAGGUUGUGCGACAUCUGUAGCAGGUAUACUUGUCAUUUUUUUUCAACGGCAGUGCGCACGCUGUGUACUGAGUUGUGCUUGUUCCCUGCAAUGUCUAGAAUUAAAUACUGUUUUGGUCAAAGCUGGGUUGUUUCAGACGAUUGUGUUGCAUGUUCCCUCUUGGGAUGCGACACAAGUAAACAAGUAUUUUUUAUCAUUUCUGCCAUUAAUCCACAAUGACCCCCAAAGCUGUCUGUGGAAAUGGUCCAGUGAUUGCUAUUGUGUGACACCAAGUGUGUUAUAAGUGAUAAGAGCAUCUUUAAGCUCUCAGCCCGGAUGUAGUUACUAGAAAUCUCCAGAUGAAACAAUAACAAGUCCUCCUCACAACAAAGCAUGGGGCGGGGAGAACAAGGACAGGGAGCGUGUUCUCAUCAACACUUCACAACGCUUCAUCAACAAAACACGACAGCUCAAGAUCCUUGCCUCAUUCAGAAAGUACUAAAGACUUAAUGCUGCGCCGUCGUUCAGGGUUGUGUCAAUGUGCCCGGGUACGUGCCCAUCUAGAGGAACCCAAAGGCCAGCUUGUUUGGUUGCCUAUACUUUGGAGAAGUGGCAGAUACCGAUCAAAGAGGGUGUGUCAUUGUGGCAGUGGAUCAAAUAAACCUUAUGUAACCUUGUUGUUGUUGCCCCACGAAGGAGUCUAGGAAUGCAUGAAUAACUAUCAACCGAAGGAGGCUCAUGGGAGCUGGAGGUUCAGCGUCAGGGCAGCUUGUGGGGCUGUGGUCACAUGGAGAGCCAUGUGAAGGGAGAGGGAGGGAGCGUGGAGAAUCCGGCUUUCUGAGGACUGGGUCACACCCCACAAACUGGUGCUGUUUGAACUUUAUGGGGGUGAGGGAGGAACAGUUAGAGGGAGACUUUCGUCAUGGUUCAAAGAGGGAGAUAUUUAGCGUUGGUUUCGUUCGUUUUUGUGGUUGGUUUACUUAAAGGUGACCUUUCUUGUCCUCGGGUCCUUAUGUCCAACGCAGCAUGUGGUUUGUUGCCUGACUAGAUGGAGACUGACGCUUUCCUUGUUUGUUGCCGUGUGCACUCUGUGGACCACAAAAAUACCACAACAGUAAACAUCAUGAUACCUUUCAUUCCUCAUGACAUUGUCUCAUCACCAUCAUCAUUCCUAGUGUUAUUAUUUUUAUUUGUUUUAUUCCGCUAGGGGUCUAUAAUCAAUUCCAUCGUGUGUUCAGAAGUGCGUGGCGCAGCGGUUGUCAAGGUGUUGUGGGGGGGAGAUAAGAGGCACCGGCCCCCCGACAGGAGGCAUGACCAAUCUGACAGCUGCUGGAAGCUCUGUGGUGCGUGGACCGGGGACUGUUUGAUCAGCCUGGAGUGUGGCCCCGUCCCGGCGGGGCAUCUGCCUACGCCUUCACCACGGGCGCCGAUUGGGCGUCGUGCAUGCGUGCUAAGAGUGAAGAUAGUGGCGCCCGGCCCAACUCCUGCCAUCCUGCAGCUCAUCAGCAGAACUCCACCAGAGCCACGCCAGGCGGUGCCGGCUGCGGCACCACCCAUCGCACCACCCGCUCCCGUUCGGUUUCAUGUUCAUCCAAAGGCUGGAUAAGGACACCUAAAAAAGACUGUUGGCUACAGCGAGGUUGUUCUACCCAGCUCCCGACGAAGGAGGCCAGGAUUGUGAGGGGGGCUAUGUCCCGUUUAUGAUGCACUGUGUUCGUUUCUAUGUGUUUUUCUUGUGUUGCCCUCUGGGAAGUGGUGAUGCCUAUUUAUACACAUUGAUGAUGUGCUGGUUAUAUUUCUCGAGGCAAAGCAAACAUUUGGUGUCACGUUGGGUUAUACUUAACAAAUAUAUGAUCUGAUUUAGCUUCAUUAUCUGAAGACUGUUGAGCAAACAAACGCACAGCAGUCCAUAGACAAAUAAUUCCUCGUUUUGGAACAGACCGUGUCUUGAGUCAUCACUCACAAGUUUAUCAUUUCAACAGCGUGUGCACUCAUUUUUAAUAACGAUAUUGAGUGUGGAUGCAUCCAUCUUUGUACAUUAAAUCUAACUGAAACGUGCACCCCUCUCUCAUAUAGUUGGUUCGAAAUUGCCUAGUGACCUAGUUUGCUCUGCAAAUAAUCACUCCUUUUUUAUGUCAAGUGUGCAGGUCUCCAGUUGUGUUGUAUAUAUUCCUUCAUAAGUACAGAAUCCCAAUGGUUAUGUAUAUGUCAAUAAAGUCAUUAUUUUUUGUAUUCAAAAUUUUCUUCUGUUAUUGUGUUAUGGCUCUGUAAUAUAACUUGUGACUUGUACAUCAGAAGGCAUCAUAGGAUCUUUUGUUGCAGACUCAAUAGACAGUAGUUGGAGUAUUGUAAAUUCCUAAAUCAACGUAAA
ensembl:lncRNA